rnacentral:rRNA from 1 species
UAGGGAAUCUUCGGCAAUGGACGAAAGUCUGACCGAGCAACGCCGCGUGAGUGAAGAAGGUUUUCGGAUCGUAAAACUCUGUCGUUAGAGAAGAACAAGGACGUUAGUAACUGAACGUCCCCUGACGGUAUCUAACCAGAAAGCCACGGCUAACUACGUGCCAGCCGCCGCGGUAAGACGUAGGUGGCAAGCGUUGUCCGGAUUUAUUGGGCGUAAAGCGAGCGCAGGCGGUUUCUUAAGUCUGAUGUGAAAGCCCCCGGCUCAACCGGGGAGGGUCAUUGGAAACUGGGGGACUUGAGUGCAGAAGAGGAGAGUGGAACUCCAUGUGUAGCGGUGAACUGCGUAGAUAUAUGGAGGAACACUAGUGGCGAAGGCGGCUCUCUGGUCUGUAACUGACGCUGAGGCUCGAAAGCGUGGGGAGCAAACAGG